rnacentral:rRNA from 1 species
AAAUUGAAGAGUUUGAUCAUGGCUCAGAUUGAACGCUGGCGGCAGGCCUAACACAUGCAAGUCGAACGGUAACAGGAAGCAGCUUGCUGCUUCGCUGACGAGUGGCGGACGGGUGAGUAAUGUCUGGGAAACUGCCUGAUGGAGGGGGAUAACUACUGGAAACGGUGGCUAAUACCGCAUAACGUCGCAAGACCAAAGAGGGGGACCUUCGGGCCUCUUGCCAUCAGAUGUGCCCAGAUGGGAUUAGCUUGUUGGUGAGGUAACGGCUCACCAAGGCGACGAUCCCUAGCUGGUCUGAGAGGAUGACCAGCCACACUGGAACUGAGACACGGUCCAGACUCCUACGGGAGGCAGCAGUGGGGAAUAUUGCACAAUGGGCGCAAGCCUGAUGCAGCCAUGCCGCGUGUAUGAAGAAGGCCUUCGGGUUGUAAAGUACUUUCAGCGGGGAGGAAGGUGUUGUGGUUAAUAACCGCAGCA